UUCUUCGUAGUGUAACACUAGCACACUCGGCCCGUAAUCGAGAGAUCCAGGUUCGAGUCCUCGCGAGGAGA
rnacentral:tRNA from 1 species